rnacentral:tRNA from 1 species
GGGGGCGUGGCGCAAUUGGCAGACGCAGGGGACUUAAAAUCCUCCAGCUUCGGCUUUGUGGGUUCAAGUCCCACCGCCCCCACCA